rnacentral:lncRNA from 1 species
GGGAGCUGUCUCUGAGAACCUGCGGGAGAGCGCCCGGGCUUGCUGCUUCCCGGACCCGCGCGUCUCUCGAGCACCCUCGUCCCACCACCUUGUGAGGCCGUAGUGUUAUUUUUAUUUUUUAGAUCAGCAGACUGAGACUCGAGGUGACGUCACUCCGCAGAGAGGUUAGAGCACAGCAGACUGAGCCACCCAGAACUGGCCCCUCCGGUGGACCAGCCCCUGCGGAUUCACAGACCACUGGGCCUGGAAGGGACCUUGUCAAGCAGGCCCAUAAGGUAAUCCCUCCCCGGAAAGAGAAGAUCACAGAUUUUGUCGUAUUAAAUACAUUGUAGAAAUUCAUGGUAGCAGGGGCAAGAUCAUUUAAACAAAACAGAAAGUUUCAGAGAGAGAAAAAGCCAAGGGCAAAGAUUAAUCAUUUUUCUGCUUAAAAAAAAUGGCUUUGAUUUGCAACCAUGGAAUGCUCCACUGUUUCUCUUCUCUUCAAAGACAUCUACUGGAAGGAUUCCUUAACCUUACCAAGUGGCCAAAAUACUUUUCUGAGAAGAGUCACAGAGCAUAGGCCCCCCUAGGGUACACAGAGAUUUCAUUAGUCCCUAGAUGUUUCCUGAUCCUUUUAAAAACUGGUUAAAUUCAGAGACUCUAGGCAAUUACUUCUUUCAGAACCUGUGAGGCAAAAACGAAAGAAGAAGGCAGGACACGCAGUGUAACAAACCUUGGAAUGGCCGAGUUAGUGUUCACCUUCACCGAGAUCCUAAGGAGCUGUUUGCAUUCCUCUAUCUCAUCGUAUCAUCAUUGUCUAAGUGUCCGUCCCUCUGCUGUGGCCUCUUUGGGAGCAGGACUUCGCCAGACUUCAUCAGAAGAAAGCAGUGCGAGAGGGGACUGCAGAGGAAAGCUGGGGCUUGGGAAACCAGCAGCAGGGGCCACGUGGGCAGGUGGUUUCUGUGUGAACCUCUGAUCUGUGCAACAUAAACAGGAAAUGUUGAAGGCUUCCAGUGCUCUUUUUUGAUGUCGAGAACAUUCUACGGUACAAAAGAGUUUGCCUCUCACUGUUUCUCAUAUAUGGAGGUUUUCUAAUCAGCAUCCUGAACAGAAUUGAAUUAAAAAUAAAACCAA